AAAUAUCAAAACAACUAUGCCUUGUUUCUCAAGUACCCGUAUCUUCUGUCCAUUCUCUUCUCUUGUUCCUUUGCUCUCUUCUCAUUUUAUCGCCUGAUGAAACCAUCAAAGAACAAACCCUAUACAUCUACUGAAACCAUUAAAGAACAAAAAUAAUUCUCUAUCUGUGAUUCUCUAUAAACCCUUGCAUCUACUACAAUCCAGUAAACCAAAUCAAUCUCUUCUUCUAACAUAUCCAUUCUAGGUCGUCUUCUUAUUUUAAGGGUUUUGUAGUGAACAACUUAUCUUCAAUUGGUCGGGUGGUGAUGUCAAUUUUCUUGAUAUUGUUCGAGGUGAUCCCGGUGGUUAUGUCGUAACAGUUAAAAUGAUUAAAAGUAUAUACAGAUGAUUACUUCAUCUGAUUUCAAUUUCUCCCAUUAAGGUUUCCGUAAGGUUUAGAUACGUGGAUCUGACUUUUUUUGAUUGAUUUAAAUUGUUUAUAGUAGUCAUUCAAUUUUAGUAUGGGUUUUUCAUUUUUUGUCAGUUGUUGGUUUUAUUAGAAUGGUUAGGUUAGGAUUUUGGGUGAAAUAGAUAUAAUUGCUUUCUUUUUCUGGAUUUGUUUUUUAUUUAUAAUUUUGGGUUGGGUUGUAAAUCAUGAGUUUAACAUCUUUAGAACAUUGUAAGGAAUAUGGAAGUUUGAUGCUUGAUCUAAUAAGAAUUCUGGAUUUAUUGGUUAAAUCCAAAUUUGGUUAUGAGGUCAAUUAUCCUAAUAGCUAUAACUGAAGAAUAGAUGAUGAUUAACAUUUGUAUGUAUGAUGAUAUCUUAUUCAAAAAUGGGAAGAAUGCUAGCCCAGAUUGAAUCAACCCUCUGAAGCUUCUCUAUUGAGAAUAUCUUCUAUUGAAAAGCGUGUAAGUUUUCCUUUUGAUCAGUUGCUCAAGUUGUACUGGGAAUUUCAUGGGGCACUUUAUCUAUGGGAAGUAUUUAGAAAGAGAAUUGUUCAUGUUUAAUGCCUCCUCCAUGUUCAUGUAAGCACCCGUGGUAACUCUAAUUCUGGUAUUUGUAGGUACUUUCCUGGGAAGUGAAGAGUGUUUACUUUAAGUGUUAAGAUCUGAAGUGUUUGAUCUUCUUUUCUAUUUCUCUGGGUGUUUUUGAAAUUUUCUUGUUUGUGUAAACUUUCUAAUACGUUCCCCUUUUGAUCUGUUAUAGGUAACAGUUUCUGAGCUGAAGUAGUGAUGAUUGAUCAACUUGCUGCUGUAGAAUCUUCUGUUGUGAUGGAUAAGGGAGGAUAAGGUUACUCGCAUAUAUACUUUAUGGCAUGCUUGUUGUGUUUGUAGAAAAUUUCCAUUAACAUUGGUCAUUGUAUACAAAAACUGUAGCUAUUACAUUUGUGUGCUAUUUGAGGCGAUUGCAUUUGACACUUACAUUUGCAGUCACCUUGUUCAAACUUACGUUCAAUCUGACCGAGAAUUUCAAAUAAGUGAACUAAGUAGCCUUUAUUAUUCAGUUUUGCAAGUUUUCUUUCAUUGUACAAGAACCAACGGCUACAUGAUACAUUAUGCCCACCUUUUGUGUUGUUCAGGUGAUGCUUUUCCUAGUUAAAUUUCCAUGCCGGUGUAGCUAAAUUCAAGACUCUAAAGAUGCAUUGAUAUCAAUUAUGACCUUUAUAUCAGUUCCUAAUAAUUAGCGAUUGAAAGAAUUACUCAUUCAUUUGUACUUGCCAUGUAAUUUCUUAUAAAUUCACGACACUUUUGAGUUGAAUUGUCGAUCUUGGUGUUAUAUGUCUUAUUAUUUGGUAUUUAAUUGGGGUUGUUUUGACCCCACAGAUUUGAAUACGACAUUUCAGAAAUUGAUGAAAGAGCACUACAUGGAGAACUACAGCUUCCAAAAAUUGAUGGAAGAGCACUACAUGGAGAACUACAGCUAAUUCUUCUGUUUGGAGAGUUGGAGGUGGCUCUAGUUUCCAGGAUAUCGAGUUUAUGCCAUUUAUUGCACUAUGUUGCUCAUUUUGUUACUUUUAUAGGUUCAAGUCCAUUGCCAGCAUUAACAGUUGCCUCGAUAAUUGAUUUCACAUUUAACUAUGGCAAAGGAAGUGCUUGUUCUACAUGUUAUGAGAUUCCUUGCACAUUGGCUUCUGUCAAUUCCCUUGAAAUGUACACACAACUUUCCAGCGAUCCUCUUUGCAAAACUUGCGAACCUUGCAUUUUGUCCGUUGAUAUAAAUCCAUCAAAGAACGGUUCUCUUGCUUGUUGCACUCUCAAUCAUCACUGACUUCUGAAAGGGAUCAUAAAAUGCAAUAGCAAGCUAAUUGACCUAUUAGUUUCUGACAUGAAACCAAAUGCGAAAGCUUCCUAUUUCAAGUGUUGCAGAGUCCUCUUAUUUAAAGACACCACCUGACAAGUGCUGGAACUAUGGAGAAGCAUUAUGGUGAUGUUAGAUUUCACUCAUGUUGCCUUGGUAGUUUUUCUAUAGUGAUUUGCUUUUUAGAUUUCUGUAUGUUUCGUAAAUUAUUUUCAGAUUCAGAACUGAUUAUAGUUUGUUAUUGUAAAAUGAAAUCCAUGUGUUUAGUGAAUUUUUGGCAGAUUUAGAACCUGAGUAAUUGUAGUUUGUUGGGGUUGUAUAAUGAAUUUAGUGAAUAUAAGUUUAAUUCAGUUUGA